CUUGUUGGUGAGGUAACGGCUCACCAAGGCAAUGACGGGUAGCGGGACUGAGAGGUUGGCCCGCAACAUCGGGACUGAGACACUGCCCGGACCUCCACGGAGGGCUGCAGUAACGAAUAUUGGGCAAUGAGCGAAAGCUUGACCCAGCGACGCCGCGUGUAGGAGGAAGUCCUUCGGGACGUAAACUACUGUCAGGGGUAAGAAAGUGCGUUUCGGCGUAUUGAUCUAACCCAGAGGAAGUCACGGCUAACUUCGUGCCAGCAGCCGCGGUAAGACGAAGGUGGCAAGCGUUGUUCGGUAUCACUGGGCUUAAAGCGUGUGUAGGCGGAAGCUUAAGCGUUUUGUGAAAUCCCUCGGCUUAACCGAGGAAUUGCUUGACGAACUGGGCUUCUUGAGGCAGGUAGGGGUGCGCAGAACUCUUGGUGGAGCGGUGGAAUGCGUAGAUAUCAAGAGGAAUGCCGGUGGAGAAGUCGGUGCACUGGGCCUGACCUGACGCUGAGACACGAAAGCGUGGAGCGAACGGGAUUAGAUACCCCGGUAGUCCACGCCGUAAACGAUGCCUACUAGGUUGUGGUGGUUCUGACGCCAGCACAGCCGAAGCUAAAGUGUUAAGUAGGCCGCCUGGGGAGUACGGUCGCAAGGCUAAAACUCAAAGGAAUUGACGGGGGCUCACACAAGCGGUGGAGCAUGUGGAUUAAUUCGAAACAACGCGCAGAACCUUACCAGGGUUUGACAUGCUUGGAUGCCGCCGGGGAAACUCGGUUUGGCUGCCUUCGGGUGAAACUUGCACAGGUGCUGCAUGGCUGUCGUCAGCUCGUGUCGUGAGAUGUCGGGUUAAGUCCCUUAACGAGCGAAACCCUUGCCGCUAGUUGCCAGCGAGUCAUGUCGGGGACUCUAGCGGGACUGCCGGUGUUAAACCGGAGGAAGGUGGGGAUGACGUCAAGUCAUCAUGGCCUUUAUGCCCUGGGCUUCACACGUGCUACAAUGGUCAGAACAGAGCGACGCGAUACCGCGAGGUGGAGCAAAUCGCAAAAAUCUGGCCCCAGUUCGGAUUGCAGGCUGGCAACUCGCCUGCAUGAAGGUGGAAUCGCUAGUAAUCGCGUAUCAGCGAUGACGCGGUGAAUGUGUUCCUGAGCCUUGUACACACCGCCCGUCAAGUGAUGGGAGUUGGGAGUACCCGAAGUCGGAUUGCUAACCCGCAAGGGAGGCGUCUGCCGACGGUAAGCCCGGUGACUGGCACUAAGUCGUAACAAGGUA
rnacentral:rRNA from 1 species